rnacentral:lncRNA from 1 species
AUAGAUUUUCUUCUCCAGUGGGCUGCCUCAAGACCUUGACAAGUUUGAUUUAGGUAGUACAGCUGCUUUACAGGCCAAGGUGAUGUGACGGCAUGCUACAGUUGCUUCAGUUUGAGUGUGCCACUACAGUAAAACGGUUCCACCUGCCCACCUUUCAUAGAGUUAUACAAAUGUGCUUCAGUCACUGUGUGUUAUAUCUAUAUCUAUACUUAGGAAAAACACAUUCUUAUGUUAUAAAUGCAGUUUCAUACUGGUAUAACUAAUAAUAGAUUAUUAUUUGCCACAGAUUUUGCUGUAUUUCAGGAAAGCUCAUAUGCUUUCUUUACCUGAUGUAACGGAGAUCCAGCGGUAAAUGCAUAAAAUGAAUUUCACAUUUGUGUACCAAGUUUUUGUAUGAAAAUAACCAGUGAAAGCUCCUUGGGAGUGGACUACAGUACAGAUUGUUUUAUACCAGGGCACUGUCGUUUAGCACUACUGUCUCAAAAGUCCACUUUUACUGCUAUUAUUUAUGUAGAUAGAAAAAAUUGCAGAAUAUGUGAGUAAAAUGAUGCAUUGUAAAAUAUUCUUGUACAAGAUUAAUAAGGAAAAAAAUGGAGAUAAGUCAGUGAACGCAGCUGCUUAUGCAAAUAUUUGUUCUAUUGACUUCCAGGAAAUUAGUGUGAAAAAUUAUCCAUGACUGCAUGUGCUGUUCUGUGCUAACUGCAAGGUGUAUUUCACAUCAAUUUUGGGAGAAGUUUUAAAGCUAAUCAAUGAUGUCAUCUUAAUAAAAAGUCCAUCUUCUUCUUCUUAAUUUGUGACAGAGUAAGAAAGGAUUCUGUUCAUUCUAAUUAACAGUCAUCUAUGGGUCUUACAUAAAAAGCUCCACUAAGUCAGCCAUAGUUUUAAGGUCCUGAAAACUUAGAAACAUCAGAAGACAUAGAAGUUUACUUGUGAUACAGUUAAUUCCAAGACACUAAUCACCCACCAAUAUGGUUUCAGAUAGCAAAUUGUUUUCUAUGUAAUAGGAAGAAAAAAUAGCAUUGAGUAUCAAAACCACAUUUUAAAAAAACCUGUAUAUUUUGUACAGGUUGACCCCAUCUAUUGUACAGUUUGAUCUCUAAAAUAAAUGAAUACAUUAUAAUUCUCAGUACUUAAAACAGUGAAAUAUAUUAUUUUACAAAAUUAUACUAAAAUGUUCUUAAUUGUACUUCUUUGCAGUCAAGGUAAAUAUUCAUUGAAUUGUUUUUCUUUUAAAUAUUCAUUUCAUUGUUUUCUUUUUAAAAUGGACCUGUCAAGUUUUUUUUAAAUGCCAUUCUUUCAAGAAAUAAUAGAUGGUAACAACACUUAUUGCCCUAAACAAGUUGGUUUUUGCAUUAUAAAUGCAUGGCGUGCACAUUGCAAAAAUUGUAAUGAAUAGAAUCCAUGUGCCAGUUUUAAAACUCUUGAUUUCUGGAGUCUCAUUAUAAAAUUGACAGUCUGCAUUGCUGAAAUGAUGAUCAGAUAGUGGAGUGAAUGGCAUAGUGAUAGUAUUUGUCACUUCAUACGUCAUGCUGGCACAGCUUCACUUGCCAGAGAGGGGAAGCAAUUUUCAAGGCUAUAUAGAAGCAGAGUCAGAAGAAAGCACUGAGUGAGUAAGAGCAUUGUCACUUGCUGGAGCUGAUUCCACAGAGAUGCAACAGAAGGGACAGGCUCCUGGAAAAGUAACAGAUAAGGAAAUUUGCACUGCUGGACUACUUUGUCUUGUGGACUUGUUGCAUGUAUUCAAGAGCCAUUCUAACCAAAAGACUUAGAUGAUCUAGAGUGGCAACCUUUAUCAGAAAAUGAAGUUGCACCAUGGAUCUGUUCUGUUAUUUUUUUACUGUGAAGCUCAUCUUACAUUGUUUGAAGUUCUUCAAUCUUUUUAUGAAUAAAUGAAGAACCUUUGGAAGUAUAACAUAAAUGACCUCACCUCAGAGAAUAUAGGGAACAUUCUUCUAGCUCCCUGAGGUCCUCAGCCUCCAUUCAGAAUAAUGGUACUGUGGCCAUAAGAUUGAAGAUAUUCCGUACUGCAUAUGCUUCAUUCAGUCUACAGUGCAGCAAUAACUAGUCCAUUAUACUUGAAUUUGUGCUGAUUUCCAAAACUGAGUAACACUGUCAGUGAAAGUAUAUGAGUAAAACUAAUCACAGUGGCAGUGAUAGCUCCAAAGGAAUGGAUGUAAAAACCUUGUCAGCAAGAGCUUCAGGUUUGAAGAGUCUGUGCCUCGCUGCAACCAGGGAUCCUGGUUGCAGCCAGGACUGAGAUGAGCUUCUGGAAUUUACUAAAGGAAUCACCGUACCAUUAAAAUUAAUGUUAUGAAUAUAUAUGAGUGCACUAUGUAAAAGACUUGACAUUUUAUCAGAAGAAUAUCAUGAGAAGGAAGAAUAUGGGACAAUUAGGAAGAGAAGUCUUAGAAAGCUUUUCAUGUUGUAUUGUAUUGACUUGCAGAAGGACUAAAUAAGGUUACCAACACUGAACAUCAUUGUUUUCUGUACAACCUACUCAGUGCGUUUCCUUUCUUUUGUGGAAAAAAAAAAAAAAAAAACAAAAACCUUUUUUUUUUUUUUUUUUUCCAAAAUAUAACCUGAAUUUUUAUAAUCCUAUUGAACUUCAGGUAAUGACCUGAGAAUGGAAGAAGAUGAAGUUGUUUUGGGAAAAAAAACAUACACGUCUUGUACAAGCUCUAUCUUGUAUGACGAAGAACUCUAUAUUAUAAUGUGUAUUUUUAGGGUUCACAAUGACAUAGCUCAUCUGUAGAUGCAUUUUAUCAAGGUAGGAAAAAAAAAUUAUUUCCAGAUUGUUACCAAAAUUACAGCACCUGGCUAAAAUUAAAGACAUGUCUAAAGAAUAAAGACUAUAUUAGUAUCUAUUUGAAGUAAUCCUCUCUUGUCUGUAUACAAACCAAAGUACAAAAGGAACCUAAACUAAUCAUCACAGCAAAAACAGAACAAUAUUUGAAUGCUGAACAGAAAAAUAAGUCCAGUGUAUUCUGAAGUUUUCUGUUCUACUAGAAAUAUAGAUGUAUUUUGUGACCUCCAUGCAGUUAUUAGAACCCUAGUUCUAAUUAACUCCCAGUUAAAUAAAGGAUAUCUCAUGUUACCCAUCUUACUAUAUUGUCCUAUGAAGUUAGAAAAGGUUCACAGGUAACUUUCACAGACUAAUUACUGUUUAAAAAGGCAAUCAACAUCUGCCACUCUGUUGUUAGCUAAUUACAUUUUUCCAGUCAUUAGUGUUGCUCAUUGAGACCUGACUGAAUGCCCUUUAAAACCAUUAAGCCUUUUAAAAUUCUUUUUAAGUUGAUUUUGUUUCUGUAGGUAAGAUGCUAACAUUCAUUUGGAGAUGUUAAGGGAAAUGAUUCCCCCAAUAGAUUUUCUGAUCUAUGUGGUUGUUAGACAAAUGAUGAGCUUCGCUCAAGAAUGUGCUCAUGUCUUCUACUGUAGACUUGCUGUAUGCGGUAUAUUUCCUCAAAAGCGAUGGAGUCUAGAGUUGAACUUUGGUUCCCAGUACAAUUACAGGAAAUAUUUUCUGAGACUUCAUGAUUGAGCCAUUUAUUCUAUAACUUGGUAGAACAUUUUAAAAUUAAAAUGAAUCUAAGUAAUGCAAAUCUGGAAUAAAGUUUUCGUUCUCAGUUGGAAGCAAUCUCCAGUAAUUGCAUAAUAAAAGCAGAUUUCCUAAUUUCUGCUAAAAGCAUAUCACUUUUCAAGGUUUGUUUGUUUCGAUAGGUUUUUGGUUGUUUGGUUUUGUUUUGUUGAGUUUUUUGCAUGUAUAAAACAUAGUAAGAAGCUCUCUUUAAUACUCAUUGAAAUAUAUAAAUGCUUUCUUUUCUAAAACAAUUAUCUUUGAAAUUUAGGAUGUUUUACUGUAGAAUAACAAGAUUUCUUGAGAAAGCAUUUUUCAAGCUUCAGGCUUGUACAUCAGAAGAAAGUUUUGUAGGAACAAGAUCACACCUGUGCUAUAUCAAUGUAGGACACAUAUUCAUACAUCAAAAAGAAAAAGAAAGAAAGGAGUUGAAUAGUUGAUUCUGUAAAUCCUGUGUGUUCCCAAAGAAGUUUUCAAGAUACCGUAUAGAAAUGGUGAAAACUUUCUGAUAUCUUUUAGCGAUGUAUAUAUGAAUGUGAAAAUAGGAUAAUGGAAAUGCUUCAGUGGUCUAAUAAGAGUAGAAUUAAUUUUGAAGACAUUUUUCAUUUCUCCUUAUUGCUUCUGUACACUUUCAAUUCAGCUGAGGCAUAGUUUCUUCUUAUUAAGUGUUUCAUAUGGUGUUUUUAUGAAGUGUGAGAAUACCUGUUUAUGUCAGGUCUAGCACUGUUCUUGUUGUACUGGAUGUGUUAGCUGGAUGACAUGAUGAUGAACUACUGAACUGCUUGUUUAUGUCAUUCUCAGUUUCUUUUCUUUCCUUUUGCAGAGUAAAUAGAACAAAAUUCAACAUCAUUUGCUUUUUUUUUUUCCUUUUUUUUUUUUUUUUUUUUUUGCAUUUGUUGCAACUGGGCAAUCUUUAAUGUCCCUUGCCAACCAAAGACAUUGUAUGAUUUUCUAUACUCACUCAUUACUCCAUAUUCACUCCAUAUUCAUUGCUUAGGUAGUAACUCAUUUUAUUUCUUCUUGAACUUAUAACAGCCCUGUAGAAUCAUUUGAAAAAUUCAGUGGAAAAGUCUUUCACAAACAGCUUCUUUUUCCUUUUUUCCUUCUUUUCCAUCCUCUUCUUCCCAAAACAGAGCUGAAAAGAUAAUUAAGGACACUCUCAUUCAAAUGAAAUUUCACUUUUCAGGUAGUAUUACUUCAGUUUAAUAUCAUCACAGCAUUUAAAACAAUUGGCUUUUUUUUUCCUUUAUUCUAUAUGGUAUUUUGAAUGUUAUGCAAGUUUUUAAUGUAUGUAUUAGAUUUUACGAUAUAGUAAUACGAACAACUGGGAAGAAUACUCUAUUAGGAUAGACUCCAGUUAAGCAAAGUAGCAUUAUGACAGAUAAUUCAAUCCUGCUGAUCUUAUUCAGGUUUCACUCACUCAAAAUCCAUGCUGAUAUCAAGAAAUGUAAUAUGAACUUCUUAAUUUGAUCUGCAGUUAAUUUUUUAUAAUUUAUUUUCAAACAGAAGAUAUAUCUGUUAAAGAUUGAAUUGAGUUAUUCCAACCACUGCCUUGCUUAGCAGGUGGUGUGAAAUAGCCUUGUCUCAGGAAGAGCAAUUCAAGAUAUUGCAUCUUUUCACAGUGCUGAGAAGCCUAUGACCUGGUAGACCUUUGCCCACUUUGUUUUCCUGCUUGUAAUUGUAGCUGUCACUGUGAAGUAGUGUUUGCAGUUCACUGUCAGAGACACUUGUCCCGAAUGCCCCCUUUCACUCCCAUGCAGGUGGAUGCAACUUUAGAGAAGCCCUCUCUAUAUAGUCCAGGCUAAAAAUGCUGUACUGGAAGAAUGGAAGUGUUGCAAUACCACUAGCCAGAUGAACUUUUUUUGGCACCAGCACUACUUUUAUCAUGCACAAGAAAAAUACUUAGUUAAAGAUAUUUACCUGGCAUUCUCAUUGAUUCCAGACCUCAAACUGGAAACUAAGUUCCUCUAUUUCUGGCAGCUACCACUUUAUUUUCAUAGAGUAAGAACUGGCAAAUAACUUUCUGAAGGAAGCACAAGGCUUUUUAUUACAUGGUUUUCAAUUGUAGUGUUGCUGAACUUUUGCAGAUAUAAGCCAACACAGACUCUGCACUGGGUUAUAGAGCUCUGUGGACUGUUCUUAAGGGACUCUGGUGCUAUUUGAAAGAAAGGAAUGUGGCUAUCUAUGAUUGUAACAACUACAAUACUGCAUAGCUCUUAUAAAGAUUGAAUAGCACCUACAGAACUGAAAGGAACUGCUGGGAAGAACUCAAAAUACUUGCUAAAGGAAGCAAGCAUUUCAACCUCUGCCUUGAUAAUGGAGAGUUAGAUAAGAAGUGAAGCUGAAUGAUUUGGUUUAAGUCACUCAGCAGGUAAAAGAUAAUAAAAUGUAAUGGGCAAAACAGCAGUUGAGGGUGGAAGAUGCACCAGGAAAUGAAACACAGGAUGUAUUCUGAGCUGCCAUUUGUUUUGAGACCUGAACUCUCUAAUUUGUGGUAGAGAAAUACCACCAUCAUUACUGGAAUCCCACUCAGUUUUUCUAGGCAAUGGAAUGAAACAGCUAGACUAGUGUGUGCAUGCUGUGCACAUAUAAACAUUCUAGACUUGAAUUGAAGAAGCUUGUUACUAUCCUCUUUUGUCCAUUAUAGCUGUACUUUGCUAUAUCUGCAUUACCUCUUGCCGUGGUAAGUUAUGAUGUUUUAUGUUUGAUGAACAAGACAUAUGUAUCAUAAAACCAACAAGGACUUGAGUCUCCUGAUAGCAUCCAAUGCCUUCACUAUAUAGCAUUGAACACAACAGCAAUGGACCCUAAAAACUAUUAAACUUUAUAGCGCAGGCAAUUCUAGAAAUAGCAACAGUUUUAUUUUAUACCACUUUAUGGAUAAUUCUGAGGUAAUUAGGUAUUUUUUUGUCUAUUUUGAAAGUUUUCUUAACUAGCUUGAUCAAGGUAAGAAACUUUACUUUGUAAUGCAGAGUCAACAAAAAAAAAAAAACCACCAACAACAAAAAAAACUGUAGGAAUAUAAUCAAUGAUCUACAAAAUAUAUGCCUUUUAUAUAUGACAUCGUUUUUAUUUUCAAAAAAAAAAAAAAACCUAGUCCAUGAUAAAAACGACUUCAAAUGUAUACUGGGAAAAAAAAAAAAAAAAAAAAAAGGUUUUGCUGUCCCUUAGUUCAUAUUUACAUGACUUCAGAGUGCUUGGCUUACUUUAACUAUUUUGCUGUCCUGAUAGGUUUACCUACUUAAUACUUGUCAUUAUAGAAAAGUAUCUCCAAGUUCAUGGAUGGUUUUAUACAAUUUCCAAGUUGCGUGUUCCUGCAAUUAGUAGCAUGAGUUUAAUUUUGGUAGGGAAUAUGUCUCAAAAAUUGUUUUUGCAGCCUUUAUGAAAAUCUGUUUGUUUGGGAGAAAAUAAUGAGACAUCCAAAAAGUUACCUUUUGCCAACUCAGCUUUGUCAAUUUCCUACAAGAUGUACUAAAAUAUCUCUGUUACCCUAACCCACUGAUUGGAAUUCAUUUUCUUCUUAUGAGAAGUUACUUUAGUGUGGCAGCUAGGGAACUAUGAGGCGGAAUCAUCAACUAGCUUCAAGUACCUAGCUUUGGCCAUCAUAGGCGCCUAGGGUACCAAUAUAUUCAGUGGUGUGAUCUUUGCUUACAGAAAAGAAAUCAGAGUACCUAACAGUCUUCACAUGUACCUUAUUUUCUCCGUUGGGUGGUUGAAGAGACUAAUGUAUCUAAAAAAUACCUCCUUAUUCCACCUAAAUAUUCAAAUUAUCUCUUAAUCCACUGAUUUUAUUAGGAACUGAUUUUAGCUGGUUUCUCAUAGACCAGAGUAUGCUAAUAUUAUCAAGAAAUUAAACACAAACCAAAACUUUCUUAUAGACCUCAGUUCUCCCCUAAUUAGUUUACUCGAGGUUAAUAUAAUCAGUGCUCUGCCAUAGCUGCAUAAAGACAGUGUUGGUGUUAAUGUGGAGAAAAAGUACUGAAGGUAGCACUUCACAAAUAGUUGGAUUGUAAAAAGAAGUUAUAUGAGAAAGGUGAGAUGAUAGAAUGAUACCAUAUAAUUUCCAUAAAAUAACAUCACAUACAUUGAAAACUAGAAAUGACAGCAUUUAGUUUAUUCCUUGUCCUCAUUCUUGCUCUAUUGUGCACAUUUAUUAAUUUAGUCACCCUAAGGAGAUGAUCACAUGCUCUUCCAUUCUACUCAUGAUUCUUUCAGGACACUGGAAAUGUGUCAGAACUGUAUAGCAAAUUAAGUUAAUUUAUGUUAUUGCUUUAUCACAGAAUCAUACAGAAUGGCUUGGGUUGAAAGGAACCUCAAAGAUCACCUAGUUCCAAAUCCCCUGCUGCACCCCCCAUAUCCAGUUGACCAGGGCUCCAUCCAGUGUGGCCUUAAACAUCUCCAGGGAUGGGGCAUCCACAACUCUCUGGGCAGCCUGUUCCAGCACCUCACCACCCUCCCUGUGAAAAAGUUCCCCCAGCAUCUAAUCUAAAUCUUCCCAGCUUUGGUUUAAAACCAUUUCCUUUUCUCCUAUCACUCUCUACCUAUUUAAAAAGUUUAUUUCUCUCCUAUUUAUAAGCUGCCUUAAAUACUGGAAGGCCAUAAUGAGGUCUCCCUGGAGCCUUUUCUUUUCCAGGCUGAACAAGCCCAGUUCCCUCAACCUAUCUUCAUAGGAGAGGUUCUCCAGCCUUCUGUUAAUAUUAGUGGCACUCCUCUUGACCAUCUUCAACAGCUCCGCACCUUUCUUGUGCUGGGAGCCCCAGACCUGAACACAGUAUUCCAAAUGGGACCUCACAAUGGCAGAGGACAAGGGGACAGUCACCUCCCUCUCCCUGCUAGCCACCACUCUUUUGGUGCAGAUGUUGUUGGCCUUCCAGGCCACAAGCACAUACUGCCAUCUCACGUUAUGUUUUUCAUCUACCAGAACCCCUCCAAGUCCUUUUCCAUAUGUAUACAUAUCUGGGAUUUUCUCAAUCCAAGUGCAGCACCUUGCACUUGGUCUUGUUGAACAUCACUUGGCUCACAUGGGCCCACCUUUCAGGUUUGUCCAGAUCUCUUUGGUUGGCAUCCUUUCUUCUGUCCUAUCAAUUAUGCCACUCAACUCAGUGUCAUCAUGGCGACUGAUGAUGCACUCAAUCCCAUCAUCUAUGUAAUUGAUGAAGGUGUUAAAGAAUACUUGUCCCAAGAUGGACCCAGGGGGGAUACUACUUGUCACUGGCCUUUAUCUGGACAUAGAGCCAUUGACCACAUCCCUCUGACUGCAACCUUCCAACCAUUUUCUUAUCCACCAAAUAUUCCACCCUUCAAACCCAUAUCCCUCUGAUUUAGAGAUAAGGAUGUGGCAUGGGACCGUGUCAAAAAUCCAUCUCAUAGCUUGCAGAAUUUGGAAGGCCGUGUCUUUCUAGAGCUGUCCAUCAUCCAGACUAACCUCUUAUUACAGAGAUGUGUGAAUCUAUAUAAGAAGUUUAAGAUAAAUAUUAAUGUGAUAAAUUCUUUGUUCUUCAUUGAGUAUGUGGCUAACUUAGUCUUUAUUUUCAGAACUUUGGAGCUCUUAGGGAAGUACUGUACAUUUUGAAUGGUGCUCAAGGGCCUGAAUGUGUUCAGCAUCAUUUGAAAUAAAUCAGUGGGAUCUGGAACACUGAGCUUCAGACUGGGAGUCUCCCAAAGCCCUGAAUUAUGAAUUAUGAACCCAGCAUUAGCACCCCCUCCAGCAUUUGUCAGCUCUUAGACUCGCAGCGAUCUUCCAGCCUAUCAGGUGAGCUAUAGUAUUUCUCUAUUUGUUUUUAGUCUAUAUUAGAAGUGAGAUAGUUUAGCUUGAAAUUGAAGUAAUUCAGUCUGAAAUAAAAGAGGAAUAUUUUAAACUUGUUCAUCUAACGUGUGCUAUUGGAAGAGAGUUCAUCUACAGAAGUAUAUGAUGCAUGUGACAUCUGUCUUAUGUGCUGUCUUUCUGUGGUAAGGAAAGUCAAUGUUUAAUCACCUUUCUCACAAAAAUAACAUUAAAAUGGUCAAAAAUAAUCAAAAUAUAUUUAUAUGAUGAACACAGAAGAAGCUUUUAAAAAUACCAAGUAUUCUGAGAAAUCCUCUCUUCUUGGUAUAACUUAACUCAUUCAGAUGGUAACAUUAAAAAUAUUUUGCUGAUUAUGGGAUGUUAGUGAGGUUUUUUUUUGUUUGUUCUGUUCUCCAUUUUUUUAUCUUGAAAAAUUUUGGUAACUUCAUGAACUGUUUUGAACAUACAUUAUCAAUGCUUAUAAAGUUCAAUUACUGUAUCAUUCCUAUGACAAAUGAUGAUCAAUGAAAACCUGUAGGAAAGCAAAUGGUCUUACACCAUAUUACUAAAGUUUAAGACAGAUAAAAAUAUUUGUUUCAUCCUUGUUUCCUGAAAGAGUUAGGUCUUCUGUGGAAAAAUAUAGGAAAGGGUUUCAUGUCCUCAUGUACAUAUCUAAAGAACCUAAUAUAACUCUUCUUAAAAAAUGCAUCUAACAUUUCUUAAAUCUUCCAUCUUUAAUACUUAUGAGCACAGUUAAUUUUAUUUUAAUUGGUGAGUUCAUAAAACAUCAGGAUUCAUCUACCUCCAUUUUUUAAUUCACAUUUUCUGACAUUCUCAAUUUCAUCUACUCCACUUUCCAUUAUCUCAUGUUGUUUUCCAUUUUAUAGCCUCUGUACACCACUUAAGCACAUUUUUUGAGAUAAGGUCUGAACACCAUUUCCACAUUUCCUACUUGUAACAACCUCAAAGAGGCAUUUUCUUGCAGGAACACCAGAGGCCUGUGCAGUGAGCAGUGUGCCUGUUUCUGUUUGUUAUGCAGAGCAAAGUAGAUAUUGAGGAGCUAAGCAAAUAAAAGGCCUGGAAGGUUUUCACAGUUUCUAAGGACUUCUUGACCCUAAGAUGUCUGCAGAUGAACAUGACUUAUUCCAAAUAUUUUUGAUUCAAUCAAAACUCAUUUUGUAAUUAUGAGCAUCAUUCCCAAUGUUUCAUUAAUUUUUCAGACACAUGGUAUGAGUCAAGUGUAAAUGAAGAAUUAGGUCUUACUUUUUUGUUCUUGUAUCCUCUUAUUUUUUGUUCCAAUUUUCACAGUUAGUUCAAAAUUUGGUCUAGCCCUUGUAACUUCACUCAUACCUUGUAACUUGUAUAACUAAUUUUUACAUUGCCAAAUGUGUUUUCAUUCCUAUCUUUUGCAUUGCUUCUAUUUUGUUCAGUAUUAAUGUGACCAGAAGCAAGGAAUAAUGACCCUUGACUUUUGUAAAGUAGAUCCAUAAAUGUAAAUAUUUCUAUCUGUAUUUCUAUUGGGAUUUCACCUUUUGAUGGUUGGAUUAUGAGUCAAUGUGUAUCGUAACUAUUUUAAUACUAAAAAAAUCCAUGAAAAUUUAUACUUUGUUAUAGGAAUUGAUACAAAAACCCAAUCAAUAUAAACCUUUUCUUUAUAAAUCCAGAGGUGGAUUUUUGUACAAUAUUCUGUCAUCAUGUGGAAUUGUUGAAUCAAGCUUCCCAGGACAUUUGAAUUGCAUUUUAUGAAGUUAUAUGACGUUGAAAGAGCAAUUCAGUGUUUUAUGCAUGUGCCUGUGGUGGCUGUGCUCUUCCACAGCACUAACUGUUGAGAAUUACAAUCGUAAAGUCUGUAGGUUUAAUUCAGGAGUUUUCCAUCAACUGUUGCUUUCACACUGGCUUUCCUUCUGGCUUUGAGAUCAAUUUACACACAGGAUUCAGCGUUUUGUCCUUCAGUAGACAGAAAUGCUUUCAUCUUAUUCUUCCCUCUGGACCAAAGAGGAAGUGCAGUCUGAGUACAUAUGAAGCAAUUGCACAAUUCUAGCAGAGACACAGGCAGCCUUAUUCAUAUAUUUUGUUAUUGGAUUAGGAAAAAAGUAAAGUAAUAACACAUGAGAAAUAAAAGUAACUCUGUCACCAUCCUGAAAUAUUCCUAAACAUUCAGUAACACCAUAAGAGAGGCCUGUAUUCACUACAAACAAUAAAACCGUAGCAUUAAACUAAUCAAAUUCAAAUCUGUUCAACUGCAUAAUUUCAGUGAAGAGGUACUUAUGAAACACAAAAUGAACUUUAAAAUGGAAGGCUCUUUGCUUUGUAAUCAAAAGCAGUCAGAUUUAAACAUCAGCCAGUUAGGUGAUAAGUUUGUCAUUUUUCACCUGCAGUCUUGGAGAGAAUUUGCCCAAAAGGCUUGGCAGACUUUAAACUUCACAGAGCAUUUUCGCCAACUGAUGAACCUCAUUUUGAUAAACUCGAAGAACUGGGAGGGUGGGAGGAGAGGCAGGGUAACAGUAGUUCUAUUAAAAUACUUUUGCAUCAAUCAAGUUGGGUUUAUGGUGUGAAAAAUACAUAGGUCCUGAAAAUAAACUUCACUGCUCUGCAGAUCUGAUUCUUUCUUGUCUGUGUCUGGCUACUUUGGAGAAGUACAGAGAUGCAAUACAUCAUUAAAAGCCAGAAAUCAGGUAGGCUGAAUUAAAAUGGGAAGAUCUGAAUGAAUAUAUUAUUGCUAUAUACAAUUAACAGCAGAAGUCAGAAAUCAUAGACUUUCGUAAAUUAGAACAAUGGCAGCUCUCCAGUGAAAACAUAUUUAUAGUGGUUUUACAUUGCUCUCUACAGGCAAUGUGCAAAAGGGAGAGACACAAAUUAAUAUGCAGUAAGGCAGUAACAGAAAAACCUGUCUUUGAACUCUUAUUUCCUUUUAAUCAGCAUGAGUUCUGCUAAAUAGGAGAAAGAAUUAUGAGUAGGUGGAGUGCAUCUAGGUUACUGAGGGUAAAUCACUCAGAGGAAUAACUUUGCAGUUUGAGCAAUGGCGUCUGACCUUUACAUGACUUGAGAUGAACAGGUCUUCUCUGUUUUAACCCAGCAUGAGCAGCAAUUGCAAGGCAGCUAACCCGAAGUCAUACAACUGUCUUUUCCUACAUCAAAGUCUCUUUUGGCAGUUAUACCAUUGUCCUGGAUGAAUUCUCUAAUGCUGACUAAUGUCUUCUAUUUCACAUCCUCAAGCGUGGGAUUCUGUUGGUAUUUUUGUAAUGUCUGAUAUCGGUGGAAGUCUCAUUAAGUUUCCAAGGUUCUUAAAUUGCUACUUGGAGUUUAUUUGUCUUGUAACUCAGGUUAUAAAAGUAGCACCAUAAACAUUAAUUGAACAACCAUUAAGCAGCAUGGUUGUUUGUUUUGGGUUGAUAGAGGACAUAAAGCUUCAUACCCUGUGGUGGAAAACAAUUAGAUCCGAUGAUGAACAUGCUAUUAAAUAAACCAUUACCAGACUUCUAUCAUUUUAACUUUAGAAAGUAGCAACCAGCUGUGGCUGAAUCAUAUACAAGUGAUAGAAAGUUGUAUUUUAAUUGUCGUGUCAUAGCCCGUUAUAAAUAUUGUAGUUUUUAAUGUUUUGUGCUAAUGACAGUGACUAAUAGUAGUCAUUAUCUCCAUUCAUUCUCAUAAAAAUUUCUUCAAGAGAGGCUGAUCAUAACCAGAAUGCCAUUUAAAAUUAAACUGUGUUUUCCUAAAAUAGAGAACAUAAAGAACAUUUAAAUACCAAGAGGCUGGCUAGCUAAUUUAUUUUGUUUUGAGCAUGUUUGACAACUACAGCUGUUGUUAACUGUGUCAUGAGUUGAACUGAUAUUUCUUUCAAAAAUAUUUUUGGCACACUAAUGUGUAUGCAUGUCAUGUCUUCAUGUGCUCUCUGUAGCAUGGGAUAAAAGGUGAACUUCACAGUGGGAUACCUGUGGCCAGAAACAAAUAUGGUGCUGCCCCUGUAAAACCUUAAUAUUAAUAACACUGAAUGUCUUCAUCCAUUUCUUAUUUCAGCUAUGCAUUCUGCUUACUUGACAGGUACAGAGUACUUCAUUAUGUGCACGAACAGAAAUGCUUAAAUGGAUGAAGCAGCUAUUUAUGUAUGAUAGGAGCUAAGUGGGACAUUAAAUUAAUGCCAAACAAGUGAGUGCUCAUUUUAGUUUUGUUAUAAAUGGCUGCAGCACAGCAGUAAUGUGUUGACUCUCAUGUGCUGACAAGUUCUAUAUUUCUUACAAAAUUCCCUUAGAACUCAAUGUGGAAAGACAAAUUCACACUCUGCAUGAUGAAAUUAGCAGCAGAUGCAUUAAUAAUUGAAUAAGAAUCUCUGGAGAGACACCAUAGUUCAGCAGGGAAGUUGGUGACUGACUCUUUUUAACUAGGGAUUUCUGUGAUAUAUAUGCAUUUAAAUAAGCCCUGAGGUGAGAAAUUCUGCAUGUAGCUUUUGGUAUUAUUUUUGCUUUUAGAAGGCCUUACAUAGUUACACACUGCUUGAGUGGUCAAUGGGCAUAUGACCUUGUUUGUCUCUCCUUCCUCUGUAACUCUUCUCAAACUUUCAGUCAAAUUCAACACAGAUCCUUUUGAAUUUAUUUCCCAAAUAUGAGUGCAAGGCUUCACUCUGUGCAAGAUGCUUGACAUGGAACCACACAUCUUGAGUUCCUAUAGAGCUGAAACAUUUUCCUGUAGUGUAGCAAGCAAUUUGAAAGACGCAGCAGAAAAGUAUUAAGACAGUAUACUGUUUUCUUCUCUUCCAUGCUUUUGCAGGGAUUUGAUGUCCUCUGAGUGAAUCACAUAGAAUCAUAGAAUGGCCUGGGUUGAAAAGGAACACAAUGACCAUCGAAUUUCAACCCCCCUGCUAUAUGCAGGGUCACCAACCACCAGAUCAGGCUGCCCAGAGCCACAUCCAGCCUGGCCUUGAAUGCCUCCAGGGACGAGGCAUCCACAACCUCCUUGGGCAACCUGUUCCAGUGUAUCACCACCCUCUGUGUGAAAAAAUUCCUCCUAAUAUCUAACCUAAGCCUCCCCUGUCUCAGUUUAAGACCAUUCCUCCUUGUCCUAUCACUAUUCACCCUCGUAAACAACUGUUCCCCCUCCUGUUUAUACACUCCCUUCAAGUAUUGGAAGGCCACAAUGAGGUCUCCCUGCAGCCUUCUCUUCUCCAAGCAAACAUGAAUUUCAGGUUCCAAAAUUUGUAUUCCUUUUGACAAUAAAAGGAAACAAGAAGAUUUGCAGAAAAAAUCUACUUUUUACAGAUGACCCAAAGCCAUAACACAAAUCCUAAUGCUUAAAUUAUGAUAACUCUUCACACCAAGUAAUAUUAGGCUCAGAAGACACUGACAAAGCAGUUUGAUAUCUAGUAGACAGCAAUACCACCCAGAUAAAUUCUUGUAGAUUUAAGAUCGGUUUUUUAUUGCACUAGUGCCAAGAUACUGAUAAAAAUUUCAAUAAUCUGAGAAUUUGUCCCAAUUGAAGGAAGCGUAGCAAAAUCUAGCACAGUAGUAUUUGAUUAACACCACAUACUUGUCAGCUCUACUAACUGUUCUUGCAAGUUUCAUUCACUUGUUUGGAGUUCUGUAGAUGGAACCGACCCCUGUGUUCUGUUUUCCUUCAGUUGCAGGUUAUUUUACAAAUCUCAGGAUCUGGAAGACAGAAAACUUUAUCUUCUAAAUGCCUAUCUGUAUUCCUAGAGUUUUGUCAGCUAAAGGAAAGCUAGUUUUAAUCUUAGGUUUUGAACAUAUUAAUAUUGGUUGGCAAUGUUUUCAGUAAACGAUGAUAUGGUUUAAUAAAGUGGUUGUCUUUUAAAAAGUCCAUUUUUACAAAUAUGAAGUUUAGUUUCUUCCUUUUAGAUAGGAAACGUUUUUAUUGAAUAACAGUGGAUAUGUUAUUUAAUCAAUACAAAUUUGGUAUCAGUCUUUUCCUAAUCAAGAUAAUGAAUUUAUAAUCUUUUUAGUACAAGAAACAUUUUAGAAAUUUAUUUUGUCUCUUGAAAUAGGAGAUAAGUCUAAGAGAUUCAUAUUUGUUUAAUGAUAUACUGCCUUGAUCUAUUAGACACCUUGAAAUAUACUGCAAGUGAUGAAAGAACAGCACAUUUUUUGCUUUGCAAUACACUGAUGCAGAUGUUGAAGAUCAGUAUAUCCAAUGAAGUCGUCAUCCUAAAAGUAUACUCUGGUUUCAGCAUCACCUCUUCUUUUGGGGUGUUUGAAACAAAGAUAUAGAAAGUAAAUUGAACUCAUCUUUAGUUAGCAGGCAUAACAUUUCUGUGUAAUAUUUUUCAUUUGAUCAAUGCAUGUAUAAUAUAUUUUGUUGCUGUUUUAAAAAAAGAAACAUGUCAAUAUUAUCUGAGCUUUUAAGGAAAAGACUAGAUACAUAAAUAAGAUUGUGCACUGGUAGAAGAGAAGAAUAUACCUGAAUUACUUAGGCCAAAGAGGAAUAAAGAGAUACAGAUGAUGAGGAGAAGAGAGAUCACAAGUCAUUAACUAUGGCUUUAUGUUUCAUGUCUCUGUAUAGUGUGUUUAAUCCUAUUAACUGCUCUCCAUUCAUUCUGUUGUUUCCAUGGAAUAGGAUUCUAAAUCUGCUCCAGAUUAAUAUUAUGCAGUUUGAUAACUAUUGUAGCUUUUUUUAGUAGGUAGAAGGUUCAUCAGAGGUGCCUUUGUUUAUUCCUAACACCUGAAGCGAUCACUGAAUUUCACAUCUCUGGGAAGUUAUCAUUCCCGUAGAAGUAAACAGGUGUUUCUAAAGCUUUCUAGUGGAUGACUAAACCAAUGGCUUUUAUCCAGGUUUUGCAGGUCACUAGAUGUUCAAAAUAGCAGAGGAAAUCAAAAGAACUGCCUGUCUUUUGCUAUCACAGUAAUUUUGCACUUGAGCAUACAAGGAUUGGCUAAUAUAAAAAGUACUGAGGAAGACACGGAGUGAUUCUCUUCAAGCUCUGCCUUGGGAAGUAACAGUAAAAGUUACAUUUCAAAUUACAACUUUACUUGAAAUGUGACUUCAUUUAUUUAGUUUUUUAAAACAUUUUCAAUGCCAAGUUUUUGUCCCUUGACAAUGUCAAAUUGGACGCAAUCCACUUCAAGGCAGAAAGAUAAGCUUCUAAUUGUCAGUCUGGUAACCACUCCCUAGAGAUCAAGUGGUAUACUUUUUGCUUUAUGCCUCACCACUAAUAUCGAUACUUUUGCAACCCAGAAAUGCUUUUCCCUUGAGCAUUUACAACCUUCUUCAAAGUCUUCAUACUUUUCCCCUCUUCUGCCAUCUGUCACACAGCAGCAAAAUGUACUGCAGUAUUGGUGGGAAGGUUCAACCUCUACUGCCAUACCACCACCAUCUGCCUCUGAUGUCAUUGCCCAACAUAAUAAAAUAUGAGGCAUUACUUAUGGAAGGAGAAAAGUGUAGAAGAUAGUAGAUAGUAGAUGGUUUUUCUUUGAAAAAUAUGAAGUUAUGAUUCUUAGAUGAUACCAAGGAUGAUCAACUGAAAAUAGGUAUGGAUGUAGUCUGGAUAUUGACAGUGACUACAAAGUAACUACACAUAAUUAAUCUAGAAGUAUCACUUGCUACAAAAGAAGAGAACAGUUCAGACUUCAAAUGAUGAGUUGGAGCGACUCCUGUAAACUCUUGUGCCCAGAUCUGUGCAGAAAGACAAAUGUUAACACAGGAAGCCUCCUUGCCAGGGCAACAGGCUGCACUCUGUAGAGCUUGAACACUGUGCUUACAUGAAGUUAAAGCCUCUAAGCUGAACCUAGCUUUUUGAUUUGUUUGUUUCUUUUUAGCAGUGGUCAAAUAGGGGCUAGUAAGGUAUGCAUCAUUUUCCAAAGUAUUAAAAUAGGCAGUAAAUUAGUAGUGUUUAUGUAAGUAAUCCAGGUGACAACCAUACUCUUACAGGGGUUAAAGUCUAAAGCCAUUCGAUUUUUAAAUGCUGAACAUGUUUUAAGUGCGCUAUUGCUUCAUGCUCUUCUCUAGUAAUAAUGGAUUUGUUGAAAUGAGCAAUUACAUUUAUAAACAGAGAACCUCUCCCACAUGGAGAGAUAUACCCACAAAGUGGUGACCUUUUGGAUAACUAAUGCCAGAACUUGCACUAUAGGAAGACUUAGGAACAUCAGACGUUUGUAACUGUGGCUCUGAAGUGAUAAGGUACCUAUGAGGAAUAACGGUGUCAACAGAGAAAGUUCCUCCCUCGUCUCAGGAAUUUGAUGAAUAACUCUGACUGUAAGCAUAUACGUUCUUUUAUUAUUAUUAUUAAAAAAUGUCUCAUUGCUUUAAAAUGUUUUUAUGUUAAAUGUGCAAAAGAGAGCUUAGCAACAGGCUUUCUCUAUAAGAAAGUGGGUUUUGAUGGGUGGGGUGUCAAGAUGUGCUUUCACCAGAAAUAUGGCUGUUCCCACUGCCCAUAAACACAUCUUUAUGAUAUAUGUGAGAACAGUUUUAGUUCAGUAGUUGCUAAUAAUUUGGCUUUGGGAUUUUUUCAAGUUCAUUUUACGCUUAUAUAAAAAAGAGUGAUUAUCUUUCUCCUAACCUUUCUGGUUUUCCUGAUUUCCAAAUUAAUGAAUAGGAAUAUUAUCAUCAAUAGGGGGCACUGACACUAGCUUCCAUUUUAGACAAUAGAAUUUUUUAAGUGCAUUGAGUGCAGAUUCUAGCAUACCUUUGGGCUAUAAAAUAAUCUAAUAUUCUAAUUGUGCUUCACAGUCAACUGUUUGCUGUUUCUUGGGCAUCCGUUAUGCAUUGAGCAGCUGCUUCUAUUGAGAUGGCCAUGACUGCUUUUAGGUACUUUCCAUUAAUACAAUACAGGGGCAAGAAAUAUGUAUCAGUAUCCAGACUUCUGAAGUACCUGCUUUAACAGCACCUCUGAAAUUUCUUAACCAUCUUUUCAAAUCUAUCCUAUUUAUGCUUUUGUGUUCUUCCUAUUUUGACAUUUCACUUUCAACCGUAUUCUAAGAUUUUAAUUAAAGUGUAUUUAACCUCAAUCUUGAUAUGUGUACCAAGGUGUUGCAAUAUUAAUCUUCUAAUAUGGCUUAACAAUUCCUCUGGCUCAUUAUCAGAAUCUCAUCCAGCUUCUUAUCCUCUCACAGGCAAUCUUUGUCCAGAGAGAUUUUUAAGUCUUGACAAUAAUGAUGUAGUGUGGGGAGCAAGAUUUCUCAUAAUGAGUGGUUGUUUAAUUUGUAGCUGAGUGGCAUUUUCACUUCUUAGGUAUUGUACUGUUUGUCUAUGAAAAUCAGAAAGUCUGUCUCUGCACAGCACCACAGAAUGGGGUACAAGGACUGGGGGACGUUUGCAGCCUCUUCAAAUGCUUCAUAUAAUAACAAUAGAAAAAGCAUUCUGAAUUAGAUAGAAAGGUGUAACCUAUAUCUACUGUUCACAUGCUUCAGGUCUCUUUCUCAUCUGCUUCACCUUCUCCAUGCCAUUUUGUUUGUAAAGAUACAAUAUUUUUCACAUACUGAAAAAUAUAUUUUUGAAUGAAAACCAGUUCUUGUAUCUGUGAGUUGUAGACAAACAUUCAGCUCAUCUCAGUAUCUGCCAGUUCAGUGGCAGAAUGAACUCUAAUACUAAGUGUAACAACACUGUGGCAGACAAUUCCAUUAAAGACAAUAAUGCAUAUGUUUUAGAUGUUUGCAUACAUUGGCAGAAUUUGGCAUAUGCCUGUCCUAUCAGCCAGAGGUGGAAAAAGGACUGGAAAAAGGACAACAGAACUAAUUUUGUCAAGGACACAAGAGUAAUGUAUUUAGACAUAAUUUAAAAGAUUUGAAUGAUAUUAAUCCAAGCAGAGGACAGUUAAAUAUAAUAAAAGUAAAAACCCUGAAAAAUGAGUGUAAGAACUCAUUUAGUCUUUUUACUGAAACUACAACAGGCUGACUUACCAUAAGCUAAAAAAGAUGUCAUUGAAUUAUCAGCAUUUACCAGUUAUUAUUUGUGGUUUCCAAGAUGCUUCUGCCUCUCACCAUAUUCUGAAUGACUACAUUCAACUCCACGUAUAAUGAAGUUUUAAGUCUCAGACUAAUAAAAAAAAUAAAAAAUAACAGAUAUAUCUUACUAAAGUAGUGAGAAAUCCUGUUCAACUCAGGGGGUCUAAUUGUAGGAAUGAAGGACAUCAGAUCUGUCUCUAAAAAUAUACUGUGCAAAAUGGAAGAUUAGAGAAAACAGUUUGCUAAAAGGACUACUUCAAGUCAUUUCAGUGGUGGUGUUCUCUGGGGUAUAGUCUGUGUACCAGUAAAAAUCUCCAUGAUUUUUAGUAAUUCUAUUAAAGUAGCACAUCACCUCCAAAUAUUGAUAAAGAUUGGGCAGAUUCACUUCAGGAUGAACCCUGCAUACACACAUAUUUUCUGAAAUGUAAAUAGUUGGCACCUGCUGAGCCAUAAUCCCUAAAUCAGAAACACAAAUGUUUGGAUUAAUAAAAAAAUGGAAAGCCUCAUUCUUUCUUGUUGUCUUCUGAAUGCAUAUUUUUUCACUUUCAGUGUUAUGUGUAUGACUGGCAUGUUUUAUCCAGGACUAGAAAUUCAGCAUGGCUAUUUGCUGUAGUAACCACAAAGGACAGAGGUGAUAAAAUUCAAGCUAAUCCAAAACUUUCAAUGACUUACAUGGGUUUUAAAAUCAAGCCUUCAAUUCAAUAGUACAGAUAUGAUGCAGUGUGAAACAACUGAGAUUUGACACUCUUAAGAAUGAAAAUUAAAGGAUAAAUAUUUUAUCUCUUUAAAGAAGUAGUUCACUGUGAUACAUGAAAAAGUUGAAAAAAUGUGAAACUUAAACAUAUGUGUACUAUUAUUGAAAUCUGUUUGAUUUUUUUGCAUGCAUAAAGUUUUAGCAUUCUACUGCAUCCGAGACUAAAUUUUCAGUAAUGUUUGGGUUUUUAGCACAUGCCUGAAACUGCUGUCUUUCAUAUUUGAAGUGCAUAGGUAAGGAAUAGAGACUGCAGACAUACAGAUUAAUCCACUGUGCAAACUAAAGCUAUGAUUACAAGCAAACUGCUUAAACUCUGAUGCAGUUUGAAGGAAGAAAGUUUGAAAUCUUUUACCAACACUGUUUAUUAUUGGACAGGAUUGUGAUGUUUUAUUUGUUUUUGUUUUGUUCUGUUUUUGUUUUGGGGGGAUUCAAUACAGAAAUUGGAGGAGUGUGUUGGACUGCAGCUGGUGGUACUAAUUACCUGGGGCAAAGGAAGUUGUCUUUCCAUUAUGUUUUGUGCUGUUUUUCAGACCUUAUGGAUCCCAGAAGGUGAACCUAUAAUCAAGUCUUUACUGGGGGCUUCUUGGCAAGGCUAUCUCCAGCCACUGUUCCUGGCCUCAUAUAAGGUGUUCUAGAAAGGGGUUCCUCCAGCCGUGCAUCAGGACAAGGAACCAAGUGCUCCAGAGAGCCAAGUGAAUUGUUACCUGUCACAGCAUCCCCAUGUUCAUCUCUUAAUACUUGUGGGUGUGAUACAAACCACCUAAAAGAGAUUCACUGCCUCUUUUACAGCCCAGACUAGACAGUUUCCUGUGUUCCAUCAGUGCAGUUCUACUGCUGCACAUUUUGGUUUGGUUAGCAGGACUUUAAUCAAGAAAAAAAAAUCUAAUGAGCAGCAAUUUGAAAUACAGCAUUUGGAAAGGUCAAAAUGGUACAUUACAUCCCUAUUAUCCAAAAGAACAGAUGAGUUUAAUAUCCUGACAGCAUUUUCCUGUGAAGAAGAUAUUAAACAAGAACUGAAAAUGGCACAAGGUUCCCUCUUCCUUUCUUUUGACAAAGACUGUAACAAGAUGAUGAAAUUGUACAGAAUAAAUCUCAUCCUGCUUUAAUGUUCAGAUUGGGGAUCCUGCCUAGAUUUCAAAAAUCUAAGCUAAUAAAAGAGACAAAACAUAUGUUAUUUGUUUCAGGUAUAUCCACAUGAAGCAGAAGACUUUUACUAUACAUUUUCCUACUUACAUGACCCAGUUUCCAUCAAUAUUUUCUAGAUUUAAAAAUAGGAAUAAUUGGUAACAGAAGGUACAUAAUGCAUCUAAUUUCAAGAAGUAAAGCAUUGAACUGCAACAGAUAAUGCACUGCAUCAAAACAGCUUAAAAUGUAAAUUUUUCAGCUUCCAUAUGAAAGACUGCAGAAUACAAAGAAUAAAUUCCAACACACAAUGCACUGUAUGUAUUCUGCUUUGGUGAGUCCUUGGCAGUGUGGAACUGUUUGAAGGCAAAGGAAUUUGCACUAUAUCCCGUUGAUUGUUAGCAAUUCAAUUAAUAUAUGGAACUGUCACGAUUUGUUGUCUUAAAUCUUGUUAAAUUGGCCCUCGUGUUAAAUCUUAUUAUUACAACCAAAAAAUGCUGUGCUUAAAAAUCAAAACAUGAGUAUACAGCACACACCUUUAUUAAUAUGACAUGCACUUGUAUUCAUUCCACAUGAGAUAUGAGAAGUCUGCUGUUACAUAAGAGCAUAACAAGUUAUAUAAUAAAGACAUUCAUGAUUAUUAAAGAAAAACAAAUUAUAUGAUUCCAAAAGAUACACAUCUUCAAGUAUAACUGGCUGAAGUAGACGUACAUGGCUUUGAAUAAGAACUCGUAAGUAGAAAUCAUACAGAACCUCUUUUUUUCUUCACCAUCUAGAGAAUACAUCUGAAAAAAUAUCUCUGUGGUGCUUUACGUGCAGUACCUUGCUGAGAAAACCCAUUCUGCUUUGGCCAAGAGAGAGAAAAUGAACAUGCCCAAAAUAUGUUUUUCAAGCCUUGAGUGGAAAAAAAAAUGUUUUUUGGGUUUUUUUUUUUUUCUUUUUCUUAGGUGAUCUUAUUUUCCACUAGAAAUUGUAGAUACAUCCUUUGUUUUGCAACUGAAAUGCAAGAUAGCUUUUUAAAAGUGUUGGCAAUGUGUGACCAAUUUUGAAACUUCAAAGGUUUUGCAAAACUAUAGAAAAGAAGAUCCCUGAAGGGUGCUAAUUUCCAUAGGCAUUUAUGAAAUGAGUGUUUUCCAUGUAUCUAAAAGAAAUCCACUGGAUAACAUUUAAAGUUUAUAGAGAGUUCCUUGUGAUUUAGUUAAUAGCUCCUGAAACUAAAAUGACAACAAAUAGCUCUUUUCUGUUUCCCAACCAGAAAUACGAGCAGAGUAUGAAGCGUCCAGAAAAUAAUAAGCAAAACUGUUUUUCAGUGAAUUAUUGUUCAUAGUUCAGAUCCAUGGAUUUUUAUCAUGCAAAUUACAAAGAAUUCAGACCAUAUAUAAUUCUGCUAUUAAGAAAUAAAUUAUAUGCUGUUGUUAUCCGACUUUUGAAAAUCAGUAUGGAAUGACUGAGUAGAGAACCCAGCCUACUGAGGAGAGUCUCAUCAUGUAAUGGCACAAACAACUUCAGCAAUUCUUAGAGAGUGAGUACCAAAUAUCUGUAGAAGACAGUGGCAUUUGUUACACUUUCUUUCAGUUUGCUCCUGACUAUGCAAAAUGCUGUUACUGCGUCACACACUAUUUAACAUCGGAACUACCUUGAAUACAUUAGGCAGGUUUAUUUAGUUAUUUCAUGAAAUAGAUUUUUUCCAGUAGGUGAUCACAGUAAAUCUGUUUUGAAAAAUUACCAAAAUAAUCAAGUGUAUCUUGUGAACCAAUAUACCAGUUUGUAGUGAAAUUUUAAGAGGUACUUACUUCCCUUACUUACCUUCAAUAAAUCAGAUGGUGGUUGGGCAUUGCCGUGAAAUCUUUCACUAAUGAAGGAAGGACGUUAAGAAUAAAAUCUGACUGUAAAAUGUUGGACCUGCGAAACCAUAAAUUACAUCUCAAAGCAAGGGAUAUUCCUUAAAUUAAUGGCAGAUUUAAAAUAAUAAUUCAGCUGAUGGAAAAUGUUUUGAAUUGAAACAAGAUCCUAAAAGUGAGAAGUCAAAACACAGCUGACCAUGUGCAGCACACACAUUCCCACACACUUGGCUUUGUUCCAGGAGGAGCUGGUUUAUUGUAAUCCCAGUAAGAAAGGUACCAUGAUGCAUUGCUUAAAAUACAACUUACUACAGCUAAUACUGUACCGAAAAUGAGUGCAUUACACAUAGUUGUUUGUUCCUUUGGAUACUGGGAACCCCGUGAUGGGACUCCAAGCAGGGCACAGCAUCCUGUGCAGAACUUCUGCAUAGAAAAGCUACCCAGUAUUCUAGUCUUUUGAGUGCUUCUAGGGCUUUCCUAACAGAAAAUAAUUCUGCUUACCAUUUCUACUGUCAAACUAAGAAGAUGUGCAUGUGGGAAUUUGUCACUGCUAUUUCACAUAAAGGCAAGGAGAAGCAGGUGAUGCAAUUGACAGUACCAUGUGGGAGCUGCCCAUAGGCUGCUUUGUUAUCCAGUGAGGUCUGUCCUGCAAAGAGCAGAUGCACAGCCCACAGCACAGACUUGAAGGUUGAGCACAGUGUGGAACAUAGUGCAGAUCUGCCCCUGCAGAGGGAAACUGCUAUGUGGAUCACUAAUUCCUCCAUGUUUGAUGGUCUUCAGGUCAGGAUCUCUGCACAUAUAUGCAUACAUACCUGUUUUAUAUCUGCAUUCUUUUGUGCUCCAUAGUGAUGCAUUGUAUUCAAAUCUAUCCACAUUCAAAAUCUGCACGUCUAUUGCAAAUGCUCCUUUAUUCAUGUCUCUGUGUCCAUCAAGCUGGAAUUGUGCAGGAACUCAGAUGGGCUUAUAAUUACACAAUUUGUACCUCCAAAGGCUUUUAAAAGUCUAUGUAGGUAUAUUUUUGCAAGCAUGAUUGUUGUGCCUGCAGCUCAAAAUCUGGUUAUACUUGCAUUUGAGUUUGUUUUGUUUAGUAACACAAUGCUACUCGAUAUUACAUGAAUAAAUCAUCUAUAAGCUAGAAAACACAUCAAAAUCGGAGGAACAAAGUCAGUUGCAUUAUUAAAGAGAGAAAAUAAUUUGACAUGAAAGGCGUUUUAGAGACAAUACAGCCUGUCUGAUUUACUGAUGUGCACGGAAACUAAUAUAUCAUUCAGCCUUGCUACCACAUGACAGCUGUUCUGCAUCUGAUGGGAAAUGUGAUGGUGCUCACAGUCCAGUUCAUACUGGACAGGUGUUGACAUCACAAAAAUCAUCAUCAGAACUGGCACUAAUUGGCACCUUUGUUGACAGCCUCAUCAGAGAGGCCAGUGAUUGAAUCAGCAUGGAUGCUGCCUUGCAAGCUCCGCUGGUAAGGGAUACUGGGCUCAGCUCUUCCUUCACUGAAAUCAUCCUGAGUUUUGCACAUACUUCAGCUCCUGAUGCAAUUUGCCUGUAAAUUCUGUAUGCAUACACACUGCCAUGGCAUACACGUUGAAGUGAUGCCCCCAUACAUAGUGGGCACUGAAACCUGUCCUCCGAAUUUGGCCAACAUAAGAGACCGGAGGCUUAGGUUUGUGAGGAAACAAGACCAAAGCAGGUGGAACCAAAGACUGCUGAUGUUGCAGUCACAUAUCACCCACUAAGAGCUCCAUUCUCACCCAGGCUUUUAUCAAUUUUAGUUUAAUUUAAAUGGAACUGUGGGUUGGUGGACUUCUACUAGCCACUUUACUCCUCCAUGCCUCAGUUUAUUCUUUCACAUGAGGGUCAUAAUGUUUGUCUCAGUCUCAGAUAUAGUUAGGUGUUGCUAAUUAAAGAAUUCCUUAAAGAAUUUUAACAGGUUUGAUGGAAGGCAAUAGACACAUUAAAACUCAGGCUUCACAUUUAUAGGAACACUGGUUUCUUUAUAAUGCCUUUGAAUUGUAGGCAGUUACUAUUGCAUGCAUCCUUUUUGCAUUUAACCAUCUUUCCAUUCACUCUGUUGAAUAUUAAGUUUUUUCUCCUCUCAGCCUGGAUUGUUCAAAUUAGUGCUUAAAAUUAAUUUUUCUUUGGUAUACAGAAACCUAUAUUGUUUGUGGGUUAAUUAUCACUUUUUUUUUAGCUCUAGAGAAAUGCAAUAUAGGUCAAUAAUGUGACUGAAUAAUUUGAGAAUAUUUUUAUGGCAAUAAAAAGAAGUAAAAAAUGUGUGAUAAUUUUGAUCAUAUUUAAUAGCAGUAACUAAAGUAUAUAGAGAUUAUUAGAGCUCACUAGUGCAAUUUUUCAGAGAAGGAUGAAAGGGAGAAAGAGAAUGAGAAGGAAGGAAAUGAAGGAAAGAAGAAACGAAGAAAGAAUGAUAGAAAAAAGUAUAAAGGUCAGGAAAAAUAAAUAAAAUUUUAAAAUAAAUAAAUAAAUAAAUAAAUAAAUAAAAGAACUGUUCCAGUUUCAUGUGUAUGGAAAAGAAUUUGUUGGACAAGGAAAUGUCAGUAUGUAGAUGUAGUGGAAAUGCAAGUCAUGUCUUGAAGCAGUGAUUGAGCACCUGGUGGAAAGACGGGCCACCCCAGGGGAGCUCAGGUGCAUGCAAUGCUGCUGAGUGACCGGGAGGAGUGGAGCCAGGAUCCACCUCUUCCCAAACCACAUUUAAGUGCUGGCAAAGAAAAUGAGGGGAUCUCACUGGAGAUCUCUAUGUACAUGAAAUCUUCAGAAGGUAAGCAGAG